rnacentral:tRNA from 1 species
ACCCUGGUAUUAUCCUCAGGGAAGAGCA